rnacentral:lncRNA from 1 species
UUUUCUUCAUCUUCACUUCUUUAGUUUACGCCUAACCUUCACUUCUUUUAUUUAUGCCCAAUCUUCGCUUCUUUUGCUUAUGCCCAACCUUCAGCCUUUGCAAAGUUGUUAGUCAUAGGGUCAACAACCGGACGCCUUACUUACAGAAGCAGAUGAGUCCGCGUGACCACUUGGUUGUUAACCUUGGUUUUCUUCAAUCCU